UUGGGAGACGAAUAGUCCUCUUAUGAGGCUAGUUAGGUUUUUUUGAGUAAUGCAUCAGCACUUUUACUUCUUGCCUGGCAAUGGCGAAGUAUUAUAAUGAUUUAAUUACAAAAAGAAAAACAUAAUACCAACUACGUUGGAUAAAGUUCUAGGUAGAAUAUUUAUAAUGACUAUUUUCUAUCUACUUGUCUUGACCAAAUUACGUGCCAGCAGUCGCGGUAAUACGUAGAAGACGAGUGUUGUCCAUCUUUAAUAGGUUUAAAGGGUACCUAGACGGCAUAGAUUAGCCCAAAAUAGGGUUCUAUUCUUUUGCUAGAGUUUUAUGUGAGAAGGGGAGUAUUUUGAGUGGAGGGAUAAAAUCCUGUCAUACCAUAAGGACUGGUGCCGGCGAAAGCAGCCUUUUAUGUAAAAACUGACGUUGAGGGACGGAGGCUUGGACAGCGAACAGGAUUAGAUACCCUAGUAGUCCUUGCAGAGAAUGAUGAAUGCCAUAGAUUAGAUAAAAAUAUUAUUUUGGUUUAUAAAUGAAAGUGUAAGCAUUCCACCUUAAGAGUACUGUGGCAACGCUGGAACUAAAAUCAUUAGACCGUUUCUGAGAACAGUAGUGAAGUAUGUUGCUUAAUUCGGUGAUCCACGAAAAACCUUACCACAACUUGAAUAGUGUCAUUUAAUGGAGAGGUUCUAUUACCUCUUUUCCUUAUUUUUUUCUCUAAUACUAUUGAAUAUUUAUUAGAGUAGUUAUAUCUACUAUUUUACAUAAUUUUUCUCUAAAGUGUGUGUAUAUUAUUUCGUAAUAAUGAGAUAUAAAUAAAGGUAUUUAUAGGUAAAACUAUUAGAGGUAUAAGUACCCCCUCCUUCGUGAUGUUACAAGUGUUGCACGGUUGUCUUCAGCUAAUGUCGUGAGACUAUGGUUAGUUCCUUUAAAUUAGCGAAAACCCCGGUUUUAUUUUUAAAUUCUUAUCAUAAAACAGUUCAUCAGUACAUUGAAUACAUGAUAA
rnacentral:rRNA from 1 species